rnacentral:rRNA from 1 species
UACGGAGGGUGCGAGCGUUGUUCGGAAUCACUGGGCGUAAAGCGCGUGUAGGCGGCCUCCUCAGUCUGAUGUGAAAGCCCUGGGCUUACCCCAGGAAGUGCAUUGGAUACUGGGAGGCUGGAGUACCGAAGAGGAGGGUGGAAUUCCUGGUGUAGCGGUGAAAUGCGUAGAUAUCAGGAGGAACACCGGUGGCGAAGGCGUCCCUCUGGUCGGAUACUGACGCUGAGACGCGAAAGCGUGGGGAGCAAACAGG